rnacentral:rRNA from 1 species
GAUGAACGCUGGCGGCGUGCCUAAUACAUGCAAGUCGAACGAUGAACCCGGAGCUUGCUCCGGCGGAUUAGUGGCGAACGGGUGAGUAACACGUGAGUAACCUGCCCUUGACUCUGGGAUAACUGCGGGAAACUGUAGCUAAUACCGGAUACGACCCUCGGCGGCAUCGCCAGGGGGUGGAAAGAAUUUCGGUCAAGGAUGGACUCGCGGCCUAUCAGCUAGUUGGUGAGGUAACGGCUCACCAAGGCGACGACGGGUAGCCGGCCUGAGAGGGUGACCGGCCACACUGGGACUGAGACACGGCCCAGACUCCUACGGGAGGCAGCAGUGGGGAAUAUUGCACAAUGGGCGCAAGCCUGAUGCAGCAACGCCGCGUGAGGGAUGACGGCCUUCGGGUUGUAAACCUCUUUUAGUAGGGAAGAAGCGAAAGUGUCGGUACCUGCAGAAAAAGCACCGGCUAACUACGUGCCAGCAGCCGCGGUAA